UGAAACUUCGGUCGAUUUAAUUUAAUUCUAGUGGCGGACGGGUGAGUAACGCGUGGGUAACCUGCCUUAUACAGGGGGAUAACAGUCAGAAAUGGCUGCUAAUACCGCAUAAGCGCACAGAGCUGCAUGGCUCGGUGUGAAAAACUCCGGUGGUAUAAGAUGGACCCGCGUUGGAUUAGCUUGUUGGUGGGGUAACGGCCCACCAAGGCGACGAUCCAUAGCCGGCCUGAGAGGGUGAACGGCCACAUUGGGACUGAGACACGGCCCAGACUCCUACGGGAGGCAGCAGUGGGGAAUAUUGCACAAUGGGGGAAACCCUGAUGCAGCGACGCCGCGUGAAGGAAGAAGUAUCUCGGUAUGUAAACUUCUAUCAGCAGGGAAGAUAGUGACGGUACCUGACUAAGAAGCCCCGGCUAACUACGUGCCAGCAGCCGCGGUAAUACGUAGGGGGCAAGCGUUAUCCGGAUUUACUGGGUGUAAAGGGAGCGUAGACGGUGUGGCAAGUCUGAUGUGAAAGGCAUGGGCUCAACCUGUGGACUGCAUUGGAAACUGUCAUGCUUGAGUGUCGGAGGGGUAAGCGGAAUUCCUAGUGUAGCGGUGAAAUGCGUAGAUAUUAGGAGGAACACCAGUGGCGAAGGCGGCU
rnacentral:rRNA from 1 species